rnacentral:sRNA from 1 species
GUUGGGCGUGGUGGCACGUGCCUGUAAUCCCAGCAACUCGGGAGGCUGAGGCAGGAGGAUCACUAGUUCAAAGCCAGCCUCAGCAACUUAGCGAGGCCUGCAGUGACUUAUUGAGACCCUGUCUUUA